rnacentral:rRNA from 1 species
UACGAGUGCCCCAAGCGUUAUCCGGAAUUAUUGGGCGUAAAGGGUGUGUAGGUGGUUUUGUUAGUCUUCUGUUAAAGCUCCCGGCUUAACCGGGAAAGUGCAGAGGAAACGGCAAGACUAGAGGAUGUGAGGGGUCUAUGGAACUCAUGGUGUAGGGGUGAAAUCCGUUGAUAUCAUGGGGAACACCAAAAGCGAAGGCAAUAGACUGGCGCAUUCCUGACACUGAAACACGAAAGCGUGGGUAGCGAAUGGGA